AUACGAAGGUGCAAGCGUUAAUCGGAAUUACUGGGCGUAAAGCGUGCGUAGGCGGUUUGUUAAGUCAGAUGUGAAAGCCCCGGGCUCAACCUGGGAACUGCAUUUGAUACUGGCAGGCUAGAGUACGGUAGAGGGUGGUGGAAUUCCCGGUGUAGCGGUGAAAUGCGUAGAGAUCGGGAGGAACAUCCGUGGCGAAGACCGGCCACCUGGACCAGUACUGACGCUGAGGCACGAAAGCGUGGGGAGC
rnacentral:rRNA from 1 species